rnacentral:tRNA from 1 species
GCCGAGGUGGCGAAAUGGUAUACGCAGGGGACUUAAAAUCCCCCGGGAGAAAUCCCAUGCGGGUUCGAGUCCCGCCCUCGGCA